rnacentral:rRNA from 1 species
CGGACGGGUGAGUAACGCGUGGGUAACCUGCCUUGUACUGGGGGACAACAGUUGGAAACGACUGCUAAUACCGCAUAAGCGCACAGCUUCGCAUGAAGCAGUGCGAAAAACUCCGGUGGUACAAGAUGGACCCGCGUCUGAUUAGCUGGUUGGUGAGGUAACGGCCCACCAAGGCGACGAUCAGUAGCCGACCUGAGAGGGUGACCGGCCACAUUGGGACUGAGACACGGCCCAA